CAAACGGGUGUAGUCAAGCUGCGAGCUUUGAGAAUAGGUGGGCCAGAAUGGCGUGAGUCUGAGCACAUUGAGCUGUGGUAUGGGUCCGUCUAUAUGGCGGGUUCGACCUGAAAGGGCCGGAUUUGCGAAGCGUCAUUUGGCGUUGCAAGCCUGUGCUUCAGUAGCUCUGCUGGCCCAUUCACUUUCUUUUAGCGUAUGUCACGACCGUCGUUGCUGUCGGUCUGCUCCGUCUAAACCGUUUCGCGAGUAGUCUUGUGCUUCUUGUGUUGCGGGGGCAGGUAGCUGGUUUGGCGCAAGCUGAACUAGUGUUAUUGCUGGGCGGAGUGGUACCUGUAACUGUGCAGUGCGGCGGGGCUGGCGGUGCGUUGUUGCCGGGUAGGCUUAUGUGCGUUGGCGUGACGUGAGUAUGGCUGCUUGUUGCUGUCUUUGAUGGCCUUGCGGUUGCUCUGUUGCGGUUGGCUGUGUAGCUUUGCCUGGUCAAUCUAUGCGUGGAGCCAU
rnacentral:rRNA from 1 species